rnacentral:rRNA from 1 species
GUCGAGCGGAUGAGAAGAGCUUGCUCUUCGAUUCAGCGGCGGACGGGUGAGUAAUGCCUAGGAAUCUGCCUGGUAGUGGGGGACAACGUUUCGAAAGGAACGCUAAUACCGCAUACGUCCUACGGGAGAAAGCRGGGGACCUUCGGGCCUUGCGCUAUCAGAUGAGCCUAGGUCGGAUUAGCUAGUUGGUGAGGUAAUGGCUCACCAAGGCGACGAUCCGUAACUGGUCUGAGAGGAUGAUCAGUCACACUGGAACUGAGACACGGUCCAGACUCCUACGGGAGGCAGCAGUGGGGAAUAUUGGACAAUGGGCGAAAGCCUGAUCCAGCCAUGCCGCGUGUGUKAAGAAGGUCUUCGGAUUGUAAAGCACUUUAAGUUGGGAGGAAGGGCAUUAACCUAAUACGUUAGUGUUUUSACGUUACCGACAGAAUAAGCACCGGCUAACUCUGUGCCAGCAGCCGCGGUAAUACAGAGGGUGCAAGCGUUAAUCGGAAUUACUGGGCGUAAAGCGCGCGURGGUGGUUUGUUAAGUUGGAUGUGAAAGCCCCGGGCUCAACCUGGGAACUGCAUCCAAAACUGGCAAGCUAGAGUACGGUAGAGGGUGGUGGAAUUUCCUGUGUAGCGGUGAAAUGCGUAGAUAUAGGAAGGAACACCAGUGG